UCGGCGUAAGUUGCCUGAGAAAUUAUCUUCAGACUUCGCAGGAUUAGGUGGAAGAGUACCCGAUAAGAGAGAAGUUAAAAGACUUAUAUCACUCUUAACGAUUUCCGCUUUCUUCCCUUCCAUUUCUAAUGUCUUUCGCCUAGUCUCCAAGGAUGUUAUUUUGUUAGUUAACAUCGUUACAGAGCUAAUUAUUACAGCCUCCAACCGUUGAGUAAUUUUGUUACUGAUUGUAUCAGUUAAUUCUUCUCUUAUUAUGUAUAUAUAAUAUUACAAUUUUAGCCAUUUGAUAAAGUGCUGUGACUGGAGCAGUGCCGCAGUACGUCAUUCGUCGUAUUUUAUUAAUUCGCCAUUAUAAGUUCACUGCUAGAUGCGGGCCUCUCGCGAUUUACGCCACUAAAACCGAUCUUCGGCAGUUCGCAUCCAGCUGUUGCAAAGUACUCUGGGUAUAUCAUUGCUCAUCCUAGUUGGAGGUUUCCACUAAAGAACAGGUCGACCUCAGCGGUUAUCUGAUCUGUAGGUAAUGUUACUAGCCCGUUGGAUAACCUAAUUUGAUAAAAAACAAAAGUCUAAAAAGCACCAAACAAAAAAUUAAAACAUAACAAUGUUUCAGUUAUUACAAUGCAGAACGGCAAAGUUAAUUUAUUAUUGGAUGGUUACACGUACAGCAGCCAUUACAAAACGAAGAAGACAAUAAAAUGGAGUUGCAGCUCCCGGAAUACUUGUGCGGCGUUUAUCGAAACAAGCCACGAAUUAACUAUAGUUAAUUCCAAUAUAUCUCAUACACAUGAUAGAAAAAGACUUCUUAAAUUAAAAAGUGGAGCUUACGUGCGCUGUUAAAUACAAGCGCGGAAAGUAUGACAUUACUUUUUGAGUUCCGGUUGGCCGAGGUUAAACCAAGGACCCGAGUCAUGAGUGUAAAUGACAAUUCGCUCGUGUAUCGAACGACGUUUUUUAAUACAAGUGCUAAAAAUAUUUAGACCACAAUAACUUCUAGAACUCAUUCUGUUUUACAAAUUUCAAACAUAUUUUUGUUCAUAACAAAUCAAUAUAGCUAUCAAUAAAUACUAGUGCGGAAAAUUAGAAGUUAUCGCACGCAAAAUAAAAGUCUACUUAUUGAGCAAAUGUAUUACAAAAAAAAAUAUUUCUGAUUUUGUGAUUAAAGGAUAGAACUCUUUUUUUUUACUUGUUUGGAGACUUUUUUAAUUUAUGGAUAUCAAUAAAUUUUUGGUUUAGUUGACCACUGUUUUUGCUGAUCUAUCACCCCGCAAUUGUAUCUCUUUAAAUGAUAUUUAUAUUGGUGCGCUACCUAUAACCCUGAUAAUAAAAUACAACACAAGUGACUACCGUUAAACAUAGACAUACAUAAUAUUUGAAAGUCUAGUUUUGGAGGCACUCUCACCUUGAGUUGCUGCUUGAUAAAUCGUACUGGUAACAUGCGCUAAUUGUAAAACGAACUGAAUGUAGAGUCCAACACGCGCAUGCGGCUAACACAAGAUACCAAAGCAGAAAACGUACUAAACUUACAAUUCAUUUCAGGGCCCAAACUGAUUACACUAGGUACGGGUAAAACCCAGCUUUUGUACCAAGGAUACACUUACUUCCUUCAUUAUUCUACAAAAAUGCAUAACCGUUGGGCUUGCACGACAUACCCCAAGUGUAAGGCAACGCUGCGGAUAAAUGAUCAAUUGGAAAUACUUAAUGGCAAUAGUCAACAUGGUCACGAUAAGCCUAGACUUGUUCAACGUAGUGAUGGAUACUUUAUCAAGGUUACAGGUAGUGCAACUACAAUCUUCACAUGAAAAAACUAUAUACUAGGAUACUAGUGCUUGUAUCGCUGUAAAACGUGGACCUUUACAGAAAAAGUCAAACAGAAGAUUGCUAUUAAUAAAAGAGCAAUGGGAAGAAGUUUAUUAAAAAUAAGGAAGAUAAACACAGUAAGCAGCGACAGGAUAACACGGAAAACCGAGAUCACCGAUGCACUCACACAUGCACUGGUGCUUAAAUGGAAAUAGGCUGGAUAUAUUGCACGGUGUACCGACAGGAGGUGAACUAUUACACGUUGGAAGGGUCCAACAUCAGGAAAAUAAAAUAAAGGAAGACAACUGAAACAGUGGGCUGAUGGCAUAGCACAGUCAGCAGGAAAACAAUGGAUGCAGAAAGUUGUGUAUGAAGUUGGAGGAGGCCUUUAUCCAAUCUGGGAUCCAUAUCUCAAGUAUCGUUAAAAUAACAAUUGUACUAACAACCUAGAUUUAGCAAAUAAUACUAAUAAAAAGUAACAAUAUUUCAAAUGUACACUUUUUAUAAAGAUAUGGAAUAAAUGCCUAUUUUACUAUUAUUAAAGUACAGAUAAUAAGCUGUUGAAAAAAAUUGUCUAUGAUUUGAAACUUAUAUUGUUGGUAUCGAAAUAAGGGUUGCUUUAUAAAUUAUUACAUACAGGAUCUACGGUGGUGCAGAAUCUGCAUUGGUGUGAGUUAAUUUCUCACUCUACGGCUAUUUGAGGGCUAAAGAAGUUAUUUCAUUAGGCUUACUUAAAGUUAUGAAUGAAUUUUGCGAACUCUUUCUUCCGUGCUUAGAUUUGUUGACAAUACCAUCAAAUUUUGAUGGAAAUGUAAAUAAAUUAAAAUUGUAUUUACUAUACUCCCUUUUGAAGCGACCAACACCAAUUACAAAUACAUAUUCGUGAUAGGGUUUGUAAUAAAUAUUGUAUUAUAACUAUAAAGUUAAGUACAAGUUUAUCUAGUGCCUUAUUUUUCGCUCUCUGUUAUGAUUUUCUUCAAAUGAAUAUAUAUAUUAAUAAGAUAA